rnacentral:rRNA from 1 species
UAGGGAAUCUUCCACAAUGGACGCAAGUCUGAUGGAGCAACGCCGCGUGAGUGAAGAAGGCUUUCGGGUCGUAAAACUCUGUUGUUGGAGAAGAAUGGUCGGCAGAGUAACUGUUGUCGGCGUGACGGUAUCCAACCAGAAAGCCACGGCUAACUACGUGCCAGCAGCCGCGGUAAUACGUAGGUGGCAAGCGUUAUCCGGAUUUAUUGGGCGUAAAGCGAGCGCAGGCGGUUUUUUAAGUCUGAUGUGAAAGCCCUCGGCUUAACCGAGGAAGCGCAUCGGAAACUGGGAAACUUGAGUGCAGAAGAGGACAGUGGAACUCCAUGUGUAGCGGUGAAAUGCGUAGAUAUAUGGAAGAACACCAGUGGCGAAGGCGGCUGUCUGGUCUGUAACUGACGCUGAGGCUCGAAAGCAUGGGUAGCGAACAGGAUUAGAUACCCUGGUAGUCCAUGCCGUAAACGAUGAAUGCUAGGUGUUGGAGGGUUUCCGCCC